rnacentral:rRNA from 1 species
CUACGUGCCAGCAGCCGCGGUAAUACGGAAGGUCCGGGCGUUAUCCGGAUUUAUUGGGUUUAAAGGGAGCGUAGGCCGCGCCUUAAGCGUGUUGUGAAAUGCGGGUGCUCAACAUCCGACUUGCAGCGCGAACUGGGGUGCUUGAGUGCGCCGAAAGUAGGCGGAAUUCGUGGUGUAGCGGUGAAAUGCUUGGAUAUCACGAAGAACUCCGAUUGCGAAGGCAGCUUACUGUAGCGCAACUGACGCUGAUGCUCGAAAGCGUGGGUAUCGAACAGGAUUAGAUACCCUGGUAGUCCACGCGGUAAACGAUGGAUGCUCGUUGUCGGCCCUCGGGGUCGGUGACCAAGCGAAAGCGUUAAGCAUCCCACCUGGGGAGUACGCCGGCAACGGUGAAACUCAAAGGAAUUGACGGGGGCCCGCMCAAGCGGAGGAACAUGUGGUUUAAUUCGAUGAUACGCGAGGAMCCUUACCCGGGCUUGA